rnacentral:rRNA from 1 species
UUCCGGUUGAUCCUGCCGGAGGUCACCGCUAUUGGGAUUCGGCUAAGCCAUGCAAGUGGUGGGCGUUCCGAAAGGAAUGGCCCCGCGCACGGCUCAGUAACACGUAGUUAACCUAACCUCGGGACGGGGACAACGCCGGGAAACUGGCGACAAUCCCCGAUAGGCGAGAGACGCUGGAAUGCCUUCUCGCCCAAAUCCUCCGGGGCCCGAGGAUGGAACUGCGGCCUAUCAGGCUGUUGGUGGUGUAACGGACUACCAAACCGACAACGGGUACGGGCGAUGUGAGUCGGAGCCCGGAGAUGGGGACUGAGACAAGGCCCCAGGCCCUACGGGGCGCAGCAGGCGCGAAAACUCCGCAAUGUGCGAAAGCAUGACGGGGGAAUCCCAAGUGCCGUUGGUCUUUUUGAUCGACGGCUUUUCGGGAGUGCAAAAAGCUCUCGGAAUAAGGGCUGGGCAAGUCUGGUGCCAGCCGCCGCGGUAAUACCAGCAGCCCAAGUGGUGGCCGCGAUUAUUGGGCCUAAAGCGCUCGUAGCCGGGCUAGCAAGUCCUUUGUGAAAUCGGACGGCUUAACCGUUCGGCAUGCAAGGGAUACUGCUGGUCUUGAGGCCGGGAGACGUCUGAGGUACUCCGGGGGUAGCGGUGAAAUGCUCUAAUCCUUGGGGGACCACCAGUGGCGAAGGCGUCAGACGAGAACGGACCUGACGGUGAGGGGCGAAAGGCUAGGGGCGCGAACGGGAUUAGAUACCCCGGUAGUCCUAGCUGUAAAGCAUGCGGGCCAGGUGUCUAGUGUUCCUCGAGAGCACUAGGUGCCGGAGGGAAGCCGUUAAGCCCGCCGCCUGGGAAGUACGGCGCAAGGCUGAACUUAAAGAAAUUGCGGGGAGCACACAGAGGUGGGACUGCGUCAAUUGAACUCACGCG